rnacentral:rRNA from 1 species
UACGUAGGGUGCAAGCGUUGUCCGGAAUUAUUGGGCGUAAAGAGCUCGUAGGCGGUCUGUCGCGUCGGCUGUGAAAAACUCGGGGGCUCAACUCCGAGCUUGCAGUCGAUACGGGCAGGCUAGAGUUCGGCAGGGGAGACUGGAAUUCCUGGUGUAGCGGGUGAAAAUGCGCAGAUAUCAGGAGGAACACCGGUGGCGAAGGCGGGUCUCUGGGCCGAUACUGACGCUGAGGAGCGAAAGCGUGGGGAGCAAACGGG